UAGUAAGAAGCAAUAUAUUGCAUUCAGUUUCGACCUGAAAUUAAGAUGAUACCAUCCUUACUUU
rnacentral:tRNA from 1 species